GGGGACGACAGGCUUCGACGAGGUCGGUUCGUGGGGAUGGUUGCGAGUCGAGGUUCCGGGUGGCCUCGUAAAACCCCCGGAAAACAAUAAGUGCGAGCUCUCAUGAGCACGCCCUCGCCGCUUAGCUAGAACCUAAGCGCGAGGUCUCGGCCCCCGUUCGCCUGUGACGGGGAUGACCGGGAUCAGAAAGCAGGCUGACCCGCGGAGGACCGCCUCCGCCGAAGCGGGGACAUCUCAGGAGGCUGGCUCCCCACAACCCGGCCGGCGAGGCUAGCGGGGGGCGAGACCAGAUCGCCGGCUACGCUCGUAGACGCCAUCUUUCACGCGACCCCGGACGCGGGUUCGACUCCCGCCGUCUCCAUCA
rnacentral:sRNA from 1 species